UACGGAGGGUGCAAGCGUUGUCCGGAUUCAUUGGGUUUUAAGGGGGUGCGUAGGCGGGAAAUUAAGUCCGAGGUGAAAAGACGGUUGCUCAACAAUCGCAGUGCCUUGGAUACUGGUUUUUCUUGGGUGAAGUUGAGGUGGGCGGAAUUCAAGGUGUAGCGGUGAAAUGCAUAGAUACCUUGAAGAACUCCGAUUGCGAAGGCAGCCCACUGGACUUCUACCGACGCUAGGCACGAAAAGCGUGGGGGAUCAAAACAGGG
rnacentral:rRNA from 1 species